CCAAUAGCGUAUAUUAAAGUUGUUGCAGUUAAAAAGCUCGUAGUUGAACUUCGGGGUUUACCCAUUGGUCAGGCUUAAUUGUCUGUACUGGUGAGAUGAAUCUCUACCUUCUGAGGAACUUUCAUGCCAUUUAGUUGGUGUGAUAGGAAAUCAGGACUGUUACUUUGAAAAAAUUAGAGUGUUUAAAGCAGGCUAACGUCUGAAUACAUUAGCAUGGAAUAAUGAAAUAGGACGUUUGAUUCUAUUUUGUUGGUUUCUAGGAUCGACGUAAUGAUUAAUAGGGAUAGUUGGGGGCAUUAGUAUUCAAUUGUCAGAGGUGAAAUUCUUGGAUUUAUUGAAGACUAACUACUGCGAAAGCAUUUGCCAAGGAUGUUUUCAUUAAUCAAGAACGAAAGUUAGGGGAUCGAAGACGAUCAGAUACCGUCGUAGUCUUAACCAUAAACUAUGCCGACUAGGGAUCGGAUAAUGUUAAUUUUUUAAUGACUCAUUCGGCGCCUUACG
rnacentral:rRNA from 1 species